ensembl:lncRNA
ACCAGUACAGAGUCAAUGUGGAGGCUAUAUACAGGGGCUAUAUACAGGGGGUUACGGUACAGAGUCAAUGUGGAGGCUAUAUACAGGGGGUUACGGUACAGAGUCAAUGUGGAGGCUAUAUACAGGGGGUAUCGGUACAGAGUCAAUGUGGAGGCUAUAUACAGGGGGGUUACGGUACAGAGUCAAUGUGGAGGCUAUAUACAGGGGGUACCAGUACAGAGUCAAUGUGGAGGCUAUAUACAGGGGGUUACGGUACAGAGUCAAUGUGGAGGCUAUAUACAGGGGGUACCAGUACAGAGUCAAUGUGGAGGCUAUAUACAGGGGUUACGGUACAGAGUCAAUGUGGAGGCUAUAUACAGGGGGUACCAGUACAGAGUCAAUGUGGA